UGAACCAGACAGCAAGGGAAUAGCUCCUUCACUCCUCCUGGAGGUAAUGUGUCUAGCUUAUCCUUCAAGGAUAAGCUAAUAGGUGAAAUACCUAGAGCUUAUAUCCUGGCAUUUUGAUUUCUCUGAAUAUAUUGAAAAUGAGAUGGAAUCGGAGUCAUCAGUUGAGGUUAUCCGAGAAGGUUUUGCUGUUGUCAACCUCUCUAGAGAAACUAAACAACGUAUACGAGCUCUAUGGACAAAUGCACUUAUCAUCAAGGUGUUUGGAAAAACUGUGGGGUUUAACUACCUUCAGUCUAAGCUACAUACUUUGUGGAAGCCCAUAGGGAGGACUGACUAUGUAGAUCUGGAAUGCGACUUCUUCCUCGUUUGGUUUUCUUGUAAAGAAGACCAUGAUACAGUUUUGAAGAAAGGCCCCUGGUUUAUAAGGGAGCACUUUCUAUCCAUAAGACCAUGGGUCCCUAAUUUCAGGCCAGAUACUGCUAAUAUAGCUUCAGUAACUGUUUGGGUGAGGCUUCCCAAACUUCCUAUUGAAUAUUAUAAUGCAGAAGCUCUCAAGGAAAUAGAACAAGCUAUCGGCAUAGUCCUUCGCAUCAACACUCACACAACGUCGGAGACCAGAGGUCGUUACGCCAGACUUUGUGUUCAAGUCGAUGUCAACAAACCGUUAGUCUAUACCAUUCUGAUCGGCGGUUUACAUCAAGCUGUGGUUUACAAAGGAAUUAGCAAUCUUUGUUUCUCAUGUGGCCGACUUGGUCACCGCCGGGAGGCCUACCACUAGAUGAUUCAAACCCCAACGGUUGACAGGUUAGAAAAUAUCGUACCUUCAAGCAAGGACGAUGAGAAUGUGUAGGAUGACAGUACAAAUAGUACAGAUAAUGGACACGCAUCAGCAAAUGGAGGCCAAUCCUCAGCAGGACAAUAGGAAACUAACGGUUAUGACCCUUGGCUUGUAGUGACACGCAAAAAGCAAGGGACGAGGUACAAUAAGAGGAGUAGUGGGGACAACUCGCCCAACACAGCACCAAAUGAGUCUAGAAACACGAAAGAGUUUAAAAAUCCUCAUCAAAAAACCAUUGUGGGCCUCACCAAUGAAGGUAAAUGGAAAUCUAGUGGAAGCUUCAAGUUUUCUAGUGAAUCCAGCAAGAUAAUGGGCAAUCAUAGUGGAGGGCAGCAUCUUCAAGAUUCUAGAUUUUGUGAUAGUAGAGAUGGGAUUAUUUAAUCCGAUCCAAGCAAAAACAGUGUCCGAUCCGGCAUGGCAAUUGAAGGAACAAUCAUGGUGGGUGUUCAAGUCAGACAGCCAAGAAAGAUUGGAGAUUAGAGUAGUAGCAUGCAAAAAGUUGUUGCAACCAUUUCCAACACCAAUCUCAUGCAAAUUUGACCUUAGGCCUCAAUCGAUGGAGAGAAGGCUACUACAAGUUAACUCGAUCUCAACUCUAAUGAUGGGGAAUGCCAAUAUCACGAAGCCGAUUUAGAUGGUUCACCCCACAUUAGGAGUGUUUUAGCAUUGUGUAACUCUGAUGCCAGGGAGAGGAUACCCCAAGGAGAUGAUGCAAUUGAUCGGAUGGAAUUAGAGGGAGGAGGCGAGGCUUCUGCUACCCAUUGAUGUCUGUCCUUCUUUUGUUCAAUCAAUAAUGAUGAAUAUCAUUAUUUGGAACUGUCGGGGGGCCCUGAAGCCUUCCUUUCAAUCCAAUGUUCGUGAUCUGAUUUCUAUCCACGACCUAGCUAUCCUAAUUGUUAUAGAGACUCACCUUGGCAAGGAUAAAAGCGAAGGAAAUCAUAGAUAGGCUUCCAUUUUAAGGAGCGAUUCACACUGACACAAUUGGCUUCGCGGGUGGCCUCUGGUUUCUUUGGGAUCCUGACAGAGUUGAUAUCACAAAUCUUACUAGCACGGAGCAGGAAAUCCACGCACUUGUGAAGGUCCCGCAAAAACGUUGCCUUACUCGCAGCUAUAGGAUGUGGCUUUUGGUGGGAAUUUGGUUGGAAGCUUGAGCAUUUAAGAGAGGAAUGGUUAAAGUUUGUUGAAUGUAUAAAGUUGGUCAAAAAUGCCUCAAACCUGGACUAUUGGACACGAUAUCCUAAACUGAGGGAGUGUGACUUUUUCUUUAAGGUCAAAAGGGGCCAUAGCUUAAAUUAAUUCUUAACUGUUAUUUGUACAUGUCGAUCGCUCCGCAUGGCAAAUUAUGAUAAAAAUUGUAAUAUUUUUUGUGGUA